rnacentral:rRNA from 1 species
UACGGGGGGGGCAAGCGUUGUUCGGAAUUACUGGGCGUAAAGGGCUCGUAGGCGGCCAACUAAGUCAGACGUGAAAUCCCUCGGCUUAACCGGGGAACUGCGUCUGAUACUGGAUGGCUUGAGUGUGGGAGAGGGAUGCGGAAUUCCAGGUGUAGCGGUGAAAUGCGUAGAUAUCAAGAGGAAUACCAACAGCGUAGGCAGCUCUCUGGAAGAUUCCUGACUCUGAGGCACGAAGGCCAGGGGAGCAAACGGG